rnacentral:misc_RNA from 1 species
CGCGAAUCUUAUGAUUAGUUGGAAUGUGUCCAUGUAUACACCAUGUAAUAGUUUUGUAUUUAUGAUACAUGUAAAUGCAUGCAUUCUUUUCUCCUUCUAUUAUGGCAUAUAUGAAGGGUAUCAAAUAGUUGGGACCAAUGGUUUUGAUUUAUUGUUUUGUUGGAUUUGGUGCCACAAAUGAUCACUGGCUGAUGAAACUUUCUGAAAGGCUUUUAAGUUGACCACCCUGAGAAUAUGGUCUGGAUUCAAUUUAAGAGAAUACUAAAUUUUAAAGUGGAGUCAGGAGGGUAGAUAUUGCUUAACAAGGCUUGUCUUACCAUAGUUAUUUGUUUGAUGUUUAUGCCAUUAGAUAUAUUUGCAUGAUUUGGAUUCAAAGUGACAAGGGCAUAUUAGGGGCUUAUCUGAAGUAGCGGACUUCAUUGACUUCCAUUGCUUUAGAUUUAGUCUCUAUGGGAGAGUUGUUAUCUUUUAUAACUAUUAUUGCCUAGUCACUGAAGCACCAUAAAGAAGCCUAAAAAGGAAUGGAUGUUGUUGAAUGUUUGAAUGCUUAUAAUCCAAAGUUGUCAUAGCAUUUUUUAUUACUUCGAAAAGUG